UUGACAUCCCCUGACAACCCUAGAGAUAGGGCGUUCCCCCUUCGGCGGGACAGGGUGACAGGUGGUGCAUGGUUGUCGUCAGCUCGUGUCGUGAGAUGUUGGGUUAAGUCCCGCAACGAGCGCAACCCUCGACCUUAGUUGCCAGCAUUCAGUUGGGCACUCUAAGGUGACUGCCGGUGACAAACCGGAGGAAGG
rnacentral:rRNA from 1 species